rnacentral:rRNA from 1 species
AACGAACGCUGGCGGCAUGCCUAACACAUGCAAGUCGAACGAGACCUUCGGGUCUACUGGCGCAUGCUUCCGUAACGCGUGGGAAGCUGCCCUUAGGUUCGGAAUAACUCCCCGAAAGGGGUGCUAAUACCGGGUAAUGGCCUCCGACCAAAGAUUUAUCACCUAUGGAUGGGCCCGCGUUGGAUUAGCUGGUUGGUAGUGUAUAAGCAUACCAAGGCGACGAUCCAUAGCUGGCUUGAGAGGAUGAUCAGCAACACUAGGACUGCGACACGGCCCAGACUCCUAGGGGAGGGAGCAGUGCGGAAUAUUGAACGAUGGGUGAAAGCCUGAUGCAGCAAUGCUGCGGGAGUGAUGAAGGCCUUAGGGUUGUACAGCUGUUUUACCCGGGAUGAUAAUGACAGUACCGGAAGAAUAAGCUCCGGCUAACUACGUG